AUAUAAAAUGGUAGAACGACAACAAUUAUUAGAUGUACGUACAUAUCCAUGUAAUAAACAAAAUAUUACUGGUACAGAUAUGUAUGGGAAUGAUGAUACUGUGUUCAAACCAAAAAAAUUAACCAACCUAUCUUUAGUAAGUGCAAAAUUUUUAGCAAAACAUCCAUCUGUUGAUUUUAUCCUCUUAUCAUUUCAAUUAUUAAAAGAUUAUUUUCAGAAUUCCACAUAUCGGAUGAAUUGUUUAUUAUGGAUACUCCAACAUUAGAUACUGUCAUAAAUAGCGACCAUGGUAGUGGUAGAGACGAUGGUUGUGGUAAAGACGAUGGUAGUGGUAAAGAAGAUGGUAGUAGUAAGGACGAUGGUAGUGGUAAAGAAGAUGGUAGUGGUAAAGAAGAUGGUAGUGGUAAAGAAGAUGGUAAUGGUAAAGACGAUGGUAGUGUUAAAGACGAUGGUUGUGGUAAAGACGAUGGUUGUGGUAACGAAUAUAAAAACAAUUCGAACAACUACCCAUCUGACAACUACACAUCGGACAACAAUUACAAUUCCAGCCAAAGUAUAAAAAAAAGAAUUUGCGAGAAUAAUAAUGUGAUAAAUAUAUACAGUACAAAUAAUAGAUCCUUCAAUGAUGGUGAUACAUAUCGUGCCAAAAACAAAUCAAACCUUGUUACUAAAAUAUAUGAGAAUAGUAAUAAUUACACACAAGAUAGUAACAAUAAAAUAACUAUUUUAAAAGCAUUAAACAAAAAAUAUCCUGAUUUUAUUAGUGGUUAUGUAUUAGAUAUUGAUUAUGUUAAAAAAAUAAUCGAAAUAUAUGGAGGAACUAAAGCAUCUGUUGAUGUACAAGAGCUAAAUGACGAUCAACUAAAAGCACAAUGCGGUUUUAAAUUAUUAAAAAAAGAAAUAAUGUUAUUAGAAAAUGAUUUCGAUACAUAUAUAAGCAAAUCACAAUAUGAACAUUCAGAAAUAAUGGAAAUAGAACAAGAGAAAUUAAAAAAUGAAUGUAAAGAUAAUGCAUCCAAAACAUUACUAAACCCAAAUAUUAUUUAUCUUAUUUUUUUUAUUUUAUCUAAAUUAAAAUAUGAAUAUUUAUAUGAUAGUAAUACAAACAAUUUAAAAAACUUAUCUUAUUUGAUAGAUAAUAUUCAUGGUGUUAUAUUACAAUUUAUCGAAUUUAUACAAACAAAUACAGACCCAUUUAUUUAUUUUGCAAUUAUACCAACAGUUGAACAUAUUUUUGAGUUUUUUGAAAUAGCUCAAGCAUUUCAUAUUAUUAGAUAUGCAUUUCCAUUUGGGAUAGAAAAAGAAAUUCUAUCUGAGUCGAUUAUAACAGCAGGAUCUUCAGUAGAGUCUGAAAUAAUUGCGGAACAAAAAAAAAAAAAAUUACAAAAUAAAAAAAAAAAUAAUAUUUCUUCUGAACAAACAUUACUAUCGUCAAAUUGUGUUUUGUCAAAUUGUGUUUUGUCAAAUUGUGUUUCGUCAAAUUAUGCUUCGUCAAAUUCUGAUUCGUCGCAUCAUGACGGUGUACAAAAUAAUAACAGUGACAUAAAAAUUGCGGGGGUAAUAGGAGAAGAUGUAUCAGUAACGAUGGAAAAUGAUCAUACUGAUGUGAGUAAAUUGGGUAAAGACAUAGAGAUAGAUAGACAAGAUGCUCAGAAAACGGAUAUGAGUAAGGAAGAUGACCCCGUAAAAAAUGAUCUUAAAAAAAAAGAUCUUAUAAAAGAAGAUCUUAUAAAAGAAGAUCUUAUAAAAGGUGAUCUUAUAAAAGAAGAUGACAAGAAUAAACAAACCGAACUAAGUCAACAAACCGAACUGAGCCAACAAACAGACCUGAGCCAACAAACAGACCUGAGCCAACAAACAGACCUGAUUCAACAAACAAACCACAAUGACGAACCCAACUUAAACGGAUCAGAUUUUUUAAAUUACACAGACGAAAAUAACUCCGAACUACAAAUUGAUCAUUCAAAUGACACGGCAUGGAAAAAGAUCUUAACACCUAUUAUUAAUAAAUAUUUAGAUACGAACCAAUUAAAUGGAAUAAAUUACGAUUUUUAUUUAUGUUACUGGAGAUUAGAUAUAUCGGAUAUUUAUAUACCACACAAACAAUAUUUGAAAUUGAUUGAGAAAUAUGACAGUUAUAUUACAGAGUUAGAAAAAUAUAUAUUAAUCGAAAAAGAAAAAGAAAAUGAACGAGAUAGAGAUAGAGAUAGAGAUCGAGACCGGGAUCGAGAUAGAGAGAGGAACAAUGAAGAAUACGAAAAUGACCAAAGUAAUAAGAAUAAUCGCAGACAUAUGGAAAGAAAAAUGAAUAAAUUAAUUAUAAAAAGAAAAAAUAUAAAAAAUGAAUAUAAUUAUCAUAUAAAACAUUCAACAAACAUAAAAAAAAUAGUAUAUAAUAUAAUUGAACAUUGGGUAAAUCCAGAAGAAGUAGACUUAAAUACUUAUACAACUUUAGUUAAAAUUUUAGUUGCCCCUAGAAUAUUAAAUAGUGCAAGAGAUGCUUUAUUCUGUUCUAAAUUUAUACAAAUACUUUUAGAAUUCCAUACCCCAUUAUUUAAUUUUUGUACAUUUAUGCAUAUAUGUAUUAAAAUGUUAAUACCAUUAAUUAAUACAUGUACUGAAAAAGAAGCACUUAAUAUUGGAAUUUUUUUUGACGAUAUGUUUACAUUUAUUUAUCUCUUAUGUGAUGAUUUAAAAUAUUUUAAUAAUAUUUCAGAAAAAAAUCCUUGUUUUAGUUGUACAUUGAACUUUCAAACAAAAGCUACUAUUUCUCAUUCAUGCAUAAUUAAGCAUGUUACAAAAUUUGAUAAAACACUUGUCUCUUUACUUUUUGAAAAUAAAAAUUAUGAAAAAACAUGGAUUAAUUCAAAAGCUCUUGUUAUUUUCUUAUUCAAAUUUCUCAAUUGUUUUCCUCAUUAUCCUCAAACUAAAACCAUACUUACAACAUAUUUACAAAAUUUUGAACAGUUUGCUCAAACACAAGGUUGGAAAGAUAUAACCAUAUCAAUAAAUAGUUUAAAAACUAUAAUGGAAAGAAAUAGGUAUUUUUAUAUCUACAUGUAUAUAUAUGUAUGUAUAUGUGUAUGUAUAUGUACUUAUGUGUGGUGUAUGUAUGUAGAAAGUUGACAUUACAUGGUUUAUAUUUAACACAUACCGUAUAUUCAUUUUGCACCUAC
rnacentral:lncRNA from 1 species